rnacentral:lncRNA from 1 species
GCCUACGUGACCAGGUUCAGACACAGUCUGCAGCCGCCCGCCUCGCACCCCCACUCUGCAGUGCGGUAUGUGGGGAGCUCAGGGCACAGCAGGCCAGGCCUCCCCGUGGACGUCCAGGAACCAGAACCAAACUGCCCAGGGCCCCAGAGGGGAAGAUGUCUCAGCAGACGGACAGCCGAGGCUCACAUGGCAAGCUCUGGCAGCCUGUCGGUCCCAGGAGAGAGGGGGACAGAGAGCAGAGCCACGCCACACGGGAGGCCAGCUCCAGGCACAGAACUCAGCCCACAGACCUCACAAUUCCAGGCUUCCUGGGAACCAAAGCAAGAAAAAAGGAGAAGCACACAGACUUUCGAUAUUAUAAGCCUCACUGGCUAAUAACACGAAGUGGGUGUUUAUCAGGAGACAGACACUGUCUGGCACUGAACUCUAGGACCUGAUCUGUGGAUUCUGACGAGCACAAGAGCCAGACCCUCCAGGGGUGCAUGUGGAAGGGGCAGGGCUGCAGGGGCCUCCUUGGUGUGUCUCAGGGUGACAGGCACAGAGCCCUCCGCAGUGGGAGCCGGAAGUGUGGGUGCCAUACUUGCUGCAGGGACAGUGUCCUGCCACCAGCCCCUUGGCCUCGAGAUGACAGUCCUGGCCCAUGCUCGGGUUCUCUCAAUGUUCAGAACCCACGUUCUGAAAGGUGGCAACCUCAGCAACUUAGCCAAUGAAACAAGAAGAGAAACGGUUGGUUCCUAACAAAACCAGGAACACAAGGAUUUUCAGAGUCCUGGGUAGCACAGGGUCUGUCUGCAGAUGCUGGGAAGGGCUCUGAGGGCCUGGGAGGCUUUCUGAAUUAUGGGGGCAACGUGGGGAGACUGGGCUUUCUGUGGACCAUGACAGCUCCGCAGCCGUGCUGGGCUCCUCAGCUCCACUGUCAGGGCUAGGAAUUGGCCACAGAACCCCCAGAGCCAACCCUGGGGCCCACUAGGACCCCAAACACCUGUGUUUUCAUUCUGCGUGGCCUCCUGGUUCCCUGGAGUUCUUUUUUAUGCUGCCUCUGGUGUGAGGUCCUCAGCAUUUAAUUUGUUCUAAGUUUAAAAGCUGCAAGAGCAAAACAGAACCCCCAAAGCCUGGGGCCCACAGCUGCUGCGGCUGAUCAGAGAUACGACCCCAGAGGACCACGUCCACCAGGGGCCGGAUGGACAGCCACCUAUUUUGUACUCCUUGUUUCAAAAGCAACAAUAGCAAAUAACAUUCCAAAAGUUCUAUGAUAAGACUUCAAGACACUAGGAUUUAAAGAAAAUCCUAGACAUUUUCAAAGAGAAGAAACAGCUACUGCAUGGGUCUCCUGAUGCUGCUGUAGUGAACCGCCACGGCCUUGGCAGCUUAAAGCAAUCAGACUCUUCUCUCAGUCCUGGAGGUCAGGAGUCUCACUGGGCUAAAACCAAGGUUCGGCAGGGCUGUGCUCCUCCCGUAGGUCGGGAGCCUCCAUGCCUUGCCUUUCCUGCCUUCCAGAGGCUGCCUGCAUUCCUGGGCUGAGGCUCUCCCCUCCCGCCGACGCUCACUGCCACCGUCACAUUCCUUCUCCGCCUCCCUCUUCCACGGCCCCUCAUGAUGAUGUCGGGCCCAUGCAGAUAACCCCAGAUAAUUUCCCACCUCAGGAUCCUCCACUUAACCCCACCCUCCCAGUCCCUUUUGCCACAUAGGGCCCCAUAGCCACAGGGUUCGAGUGUGGACCUCCCUGGGGCUGUUAUUCAAACUGCCACAGAUGCCACAAACACCAGGCCCAGAGGAGGUGGACACGUGUGUGCAAAUCCACAAAACCAGCAAAGCACGUGAAGACGUGCAGAUGAGGAAGACCCCAAUGGCACGGGAGGGCAGACACAGAGCCGUCCACAGAUGGAUCGGAGCUCUGGGGAAGGCACCGCAGAGCCAGCGCCGUCUGAGGCACACGAUGGCAGACGGGAAAAGAAGCCACCUGCUGGGAUGCUGAGACUCGCUUGCAGGAGCUUUUGGAACUGGCUGAGGUCACAGCUGGAACCACUGUGGCCAGCUGGAGUCUGCACAGCCCGAGUUUCCACCCCAGGGUCCCAGUAACUCCGCCCAAAUGUGCACACGAGACCUAUGAGGAGACAUAACUUUCCAGAACCCCCUUUUCUUCCACCAGCCACUUACUCAUCCAAGAACCCACCCCCGAACCUUCCCUAAUAGAAACACUGCAUUAAAGCCAGCGCGGGGAGACAGACGUGAACUGCGCCCCUGUCUCCUUGUGGGUUGGCCUAGAAUAAAAGCUUUUCUUUUCUCAAAA